GCUGGGUUGGGUAGGGGAGCGUCGUCUGCCGGGUGAAGCGGCACCGGAAGGUAGUCGUGGAUGGUUGACGAGUGAGAAUGCAGGCAUGAGUAGCGUUUCACACGUGAGAAACGUGUGCGCCGAUUGACCAAGGGUUCCUGGGUCAAGCUGAUCUGCCCAGGGUAAGUCGGGACCUAAGGCGAGGCCGACAGGCGUAGUCGAUGGACAACCGGUUGAUAUUCCGGUACCCGCUGUGGUGCGACCAGCAUCGAAUCCAGUGAUGCUAAGCCCGUGAAGCCGCCGGCUGAUUCUUCGGAUGAGGUCGGAUGGGUGGAGCCGGUGACCCGAGCUGGUAGUAGGUGAGCGAUGGGGUGACGCAGGAAGGUAGUCCAGCCCGGGCGGUGGUUGUCCCGGGGUAAGGGUGUAGCCCGAGUGGUAGGCAAAUCCGCCACUC
rnacentral:rRNA from 1 species